UCUUAGCCUACCUAAAGAGCUCUCUGGGUUGCUAAGGGCGACAUUCCCCUGGACCGGCCGUAACCUUUUGGUCGUCUCUUUCGACGAAACUUCGGCAAUAGCUACUCAAAUGGGACUCAGAGUUGGACUGUCCCUCGGUUUCACUGCGCCUUGCCUCUAGGCUGGGGGUGGCAAAACGCUCUUGGAACGGACUCACUCGGUGCUAUGGGUGUGGUCUCGCCUGUGUCAGCUUCGUUUCCAGCUGGGCCGAGUAUUAAAUUAGCGAAUAUUUUUCUUCACAAAGUUUUUAAUUUUUAUUCACGGCCGACGAUUUUGUACUGCCCGACAAUUUAAAAAAAAUUAAAUUUUUGGCGCUGCC